rnacentral:rRNA from 1 species
GACAAACGCUGGCGGCAUGCCUAACACAUGCAAGUCGAACGGACAGAACAGGGAAGCUUUUCGGAGUGGAACUGGAAAGUUAGUGGCGGAUGGGUGAGUAACGCGUGGACAACCUACCUUGUAAAGGGGAAUAUCCUCGAGAAAUCGAAGCUAAUACCCCAUAAUAACCUUGCUUCGCAUGAAGUAAGGAGGAAAGGCGGCCUUAGCGCUGUCGAUACAAGAUGGGUCCGCGUCUGAUUAGCUAGUUGGUGAGGUAAAGGCUCACCAAGGCGACGAUCAGUAGCCGGCCUGAGGGGGUGAACGGCCACAUUGGGACUGAGACACGGCCCAAACUCCUACGGGAGGCAGCAGUGGGGAAUCUUCCGCAAAGGGCGAAAGCCUGACGGAGCAAUGCCGCGUGAGUGAAGAAGGCCUUCGGGUUGUAAAACUCUGUCCUUAUCGAAGAGAGAGUGUUGUAGUAACUGACAAUACUAGGACGGUAGAUGAGGAGGAAGCCCCGGCUAACUAUGUG